rnacentral:lncRNA from 1 species
UGAGUUGAGAUUUAUACCUUUGUAGAUUCCUCUUUGCAUAAGCAAAGGCUAAUCUGAAGGGAAAUCUAUGAGAUUCAUGUAUGGGAUUUCUUAAUGACUAUCAUGCAUAUACAAAUCAAAUUUAAUAUACGAAAGCAGCGGAAGCAUUUAUAACAUAUUAUCAAAGCUAUAGUCAUGCAAAUCCCCUUCAAGGUUCAUAGGUUUAUAUAUAAUGCAUCAAAUAAAAUUUUUAGAGAAAAGAACAAAGUGAAGGUUUAGUCUUAUACCUCUUGAUCUAGACUUGAGACCAAGGAUGGACCACCUCCAAGCCCUUUGUUCCUUGAACUCCUUGAGCCUAGCUUCCCUCCUUGCCUCCUCCACUUUGAUAGAAUGAGUGCUCAUAGGUUCUCUUCAAGUUUCCAAAGUAGGAAACCUCUAAAGAUCCUCACCCACUAGUGUAGUGAGAAGGAUGAAGGAAUAACCAAAAGGGUGAAAGAUUGUUAGCUAAAACACCCUCUAGGUGGCCGGCCUUUGUGGUCUUAGAGAGCUAUCUUUCUUUUGCCUCUUUGUUGUUCAAAAACACACAAAAAACCCUUAAUGAACAAUAUCUCUAUAAAGUUCCUUAUAUAAACAAAAGAAACCUAGCCAACAAAUUGACUAAAUAUCUCACCCUUUCCACACCUAAUAUGGCCGGCCCUCUUUGUGUUGUUUGGGCUUUGGGCUUUCAUUUAUUUCAAGUCAUCCA